rnacentral:lncRNA from 1 species
GUAAAUAUCAAAUAAUUACUGUUUACAAAAAGUUGAGAAAAUAACACCUCAAUAAUCCCUGUAAAACCCAAAAAAAUUGUGAGAUCUUUAAUAAUACAACGUCAUUCCCGCAUCUAGCCAACACAAUCAUAGUUGGACAUGUACAUUUAGUCAACAUAAAGAUAUUUGGAUACAUGUACAAACCUGGACCUAGUACAUUUAUCCGGCACAUGUUGGAAAUAUUAGCACUUUUUCAAUUAGACUAAUCCACUAGUAAACAAUAAGCAUGGCAUAAAAGGUAUGCAUCUCAUAGCUAUACCUAAGCAUACUAGCACAUAAAAAACAGAAAAGCGAACCAUCUAUGAGCAGCACAUAUACGGCUAGUACAAGUACGAAUAAACGAGGGAUGAACAUAUCAUACCCUCCGGUUGGCCAGGCCAACGCGGCGGCGGCAACAGCAGCCUCGGCAUCAUCCGUGGCCUUCUUCUUAGUGGCGGCGUCGUCGGCCAUGGUGUCGAUGCAGGGGAAGUAGUGAAAGCAGAUGCGGACGGAGUUGGGGACGGAUCGGGAGCAGUCGCGUCGAGACGCUCCCCAAAAAUCUUAUUGCCGUUCUCCCGGGCAGUAUCUCGAAUGACAGGGUUCCGGAGGCACCUGCUCUCCCGACCAGCUGUGCACGCGGUCAUUGGGAUGGGGUCGCCGAAGACAGCACAGAGUGAGGAACAGUAGAUGACGGUUAGGUCACGCGAGAGGGAGUGAGUGAGUGACGAGGUGAGGCGUGGCGAGGCGGACGACGGAGGAGGAGCGCGCGUGUAUCACUCCUUUUCCCAAGCUCUCAAUGGCAAGUGGUAGAGCAGCCCUUAUAUAAGGGGUCUCAGCUCUCCUCAACUAGCAAGGUGAAACUAAAUUUCCCACCACCUGCCAUCUCAUACAUGGGCCUCAAGGUUAACCAGAGAUUAGUGUCUUAUAUGGGCCUAAGCUCAUCCAUAAUCCAACAGCACAACCAUACACCACCCAAAAAUAAGAUUUCUACCAAGCAAAAUACAGCGCCCAU